rnacentral:rRNA from 1 species
AGAGUUUGAACCUGGCUCAGGAUGAACACUGGCGGCAUGCUUAACAGUUGAAAAUCAGAUGGGAAGUGAUGUUUCCAGUGGUGGAUGAGUGAGUAACGCAUAAGAACCUACCCUUGGGAGGGGAACAAUAGCUAGAAACAACUGCUAAUACCCCAUAAGCUGAGGAGCAAAAGGAGGAAUUCGCCCAAGGAGGGGCUCACAUCUGAUUAGUUAGUUGGUGAGGCAAAUUGGCUAUACCAAGGCGACGAUCAAUAGCUAGUCCGAGAGGAUGAUCAACCACACUGGGACUGAGACAUGGCCCAGACUCCUACAGGAGGCAGCAGUGGGGAAUUUUCUGCAAUGGGCGAAAGCCUGACGGAGCAAUGCCGCGUGAAGGCAGAAGGCCCCACGCGGUCAUGAACUUCUUCUCGGAGAAGAAAAAAUUGAUGGUAUCUGAGGAAGAAGUGUCGGCUAACUCUAUGCCAGUAGCCACAAUAAGACAAAGGAUGCAAGCAUUAUCCGAAAUGAUUGGGCGUAAAGCGUUUGUAAGUGGCUUUUCAAGUCCGUUGUCAAAUCCCAGGGCUCAACCCUGGACAAGCGGUGGAAACUACCAAGCUGGAGUAUAGUAGGGGCAAAGGGAAUUUCCGGUGGAGAAGUGAAAUGUGUUGAGAUCGGAAAUAACACAAAUGACGAAAGCACUUUGCUUGGCUAACACUGACAUUAAGAGAUGAAAGCUAGGGGAGAAAAUGGGAUUAGAUACCCUAGUAGUCCUAGCUGUAAAUGAUGGAUAUUAAGUGUUGUGUGUAUCGAACCACACAGUGUUGUAGCUAAUGCAUUAAGUAUCCCGCAUGGGGAGUACGUUCGCAAAAUGAAACUCAAAGGAAUUGAUGGGGGUCCGCGCAAGCGAUGGAGAAUUUGGUUCAAUUCGAUGCAAAGAAAAGAACGUUACCAGGGCUUGACAUGCCAUGAAUCCUCCCGAAAGAGACAAGUGCCUUCGGGAACACAGACAUAGGUGGUGCAUGGCUGUCAUCAACUUGUGUCGUUAGGUGUUGGGUUAAGUCCCGCAAUGAGCGCA